rnacentral:rRNA from 1 species
ACGAGAGGCCCAAACGUUAUUCGGAAUUACUGGGCUUAAAGAGUUCGUAGGCGGCAUCACAAGCAGGGUGUGAAAGCCCUCGGCUCAACCGAGGAAUUGCGCUCUGAACUGUAGUGCUAGAGGAAUCUAGAGGUGAGCGGAACUGAUGGUGGAGCGGUGAAAUGCGUUGAUAUCAUCAGGAACACCAGUGGCGAAAGCGGCUUACUGGGUCUCUUCUGACGCUGAGGUACGAAAGCUAGGGGAGCAAACAGGA